rnacentral:rRNA from 1 species
UACGGGGGGUGCGAGCGUUGUCCGGAAUCACUGGGCGUAAAGGGCGCGUAGGCGGUUUGUUAAGUCUGAUGUGAAAGCCCUGGGCUCAACCUGGGAAUGGCAUUGGAUACUGGCAAUCUAGAAUGUGGUAGAGGGUGGCGGAAUUCCCGGUGUAGCAGUGAAAUGCGUAGAUAUCGGGAGGAACACCAGUGGCGAAGGCGAUCUUCUGGUCUGUUUCUGACGCUC